UGAGCAUGCAUAGCAUGCAGGCUCAAUACAUCAUAAUGAAAGUGUGUAGCAUGCAUGUUCAAUAUAUUACAUUGAGCAUCCAUAGGAUGCAUACUCAAUACAUAAUAAUGAACGUUAAUAUAUGAGUGUGCAUAGCAUGCAUGCUCAAUACAUGAUAUUGAACAUGUAUAUCCUACACACUCAAUACAUUAUAAUGAGCGUGCAUAGCAUGCAGGCUCAAUACAUCAUAAUGAGAGUGCAUAGCAUGCACACUCAAUACAUAAUAAUUAGCGUGCUUAUCUGAUCAAUACCUGAUGUUGAGCGUGCAUAGCCUGCACAGUCAGUACAUGAUAAUGAGCCUGCAUAGCUGAGUGUGCAUAACAUGCACACUCAAUACAUGAUAAUGAGUUUGCUUAGCUGAGCGUGCAUAGCAUGCAGGCUCAAAAUAUGAUAUUGAGCAGCCCUAGCUUGCUGUCGCUAUAAAUACAAUGUGCAGAGUAUUAUUAAACCUUGUAUAAUUGAUUAUUGUACUGAAAAAGGAUGAUAGCCACUAACAUGUUAUCUCAACAAGACCAAAACCAAGUAAUGGAGAAUUUUGCUUUAGGCUAUUACAUACUCUAUUAAUCUAUUUACUAAAGGCAACUGGAUAUUCAUAUGCUGCAGAGGAGGAAAGGAAUGAAGAAUAUAAUCCUGAAGAAUCUUCUGAUGAGGAAGAUUAUAGUAUUCAACAGGAGACGUAAAGUGACAGUGAGGAGGAAACAGCUGCAACAAUACAUGAAAUAACGCCGAAACGAAAAGCUCUUCUGGAAAGACUAAGAAAAAAGGCAAAACUACAUGGCGAGCUACAUGAGCACUCUUUCCAAAACGAUCCAGAGUGGCCAAGCAUCAAUGACAUCCCAGGGUUAUUCGCAAGUCCGCUUAUAGAUCCUACUCUUGUUUUGCGCAUGGAAUCCUUGGGCCUAAACGACGAAAGCCAAUACCAUCAUGUGUUGUCAAUUUUAUUAGGUCUGAAUUUCCAGAUCCUGAUGGGCAAUAUAUUGGAUUCCACUGGCCUGAUGAAUACCCAGCAAGUGACAUGGCUGCUGAUGUUUGAUUCACUAUGACACUUACUUUCUGCACUUUUCAUGUUACUACAGUUUUACAUUGCACUUUUAUUGUUUACAAUUUUUUUAUGUUUAUUUAUCUUGUUAUUUAUAUUAUAUUAAUUAGUUAUUUACAUUUUUAUGGUGGUUAUUUUAUUUUGUCUAUUUUAAUCUGUCUACACCAGUCAUUUCCUAAACGUGGUCCCUCGGCACACUGCUAUUCCAUUUGACACUUCCCAUUGUUGGAGUUUAUUUUUCCGUUGAUUUUUUUAUUUCCAGCCCUGGCAUGCUCGCUGAUGACUGACGGCGCAGGGUGGAAGGGAAGCCUGCGUGCGAACUGCGCACAGUGUCCCACUCCCCCUUGCGGCCCAGUGAGGCAAAAAUGGAGCCAUGGUGAAGAAGCUGUAAUACCUACGGUGCCACCGUCACUGCGGUGUCACCCAGGUCACCCUCUACCCACCCCAACUGUCAACCCUCCCCCCCCGUCCACACCCGUGUCACCAUGUUCAUCCUCCUGUCCUCACUGUCACACAUGUUCCCCCUCCCCGUCAAUCAUGUCUACCCCCUAUUCACAUCUGUCACCCAUGUACACUCCUCUACACCCCUGUUACCCAAUUACACCCCUCUGUUACCCAUGUACACUCCUCUACACCCCUCUAUAAACCAUGUACACUCCUCUACACCCC